AUUGAACGCUGGCGGCAUGCCUUACACAUGCAGGUCGAACGGCAGCGGGGGAGAAGCUUGCUUUUCCUGCCGGCGAGUGGCGAACGGGUGAGUAAUACAUCGGAACGUGCCCUGUAGUGGGGGAUAACUAGUCGAAAGAUUAGCUAAUACCGCAUACGACCUGAGGGUGAAAGUGGGGGACCGCAAGGCCUCAUGCUAUAGGAGCGGCCGAUGUCUGAUUAGCUAGUUGGUGGGGUAAAGGCCUACCAAGGCGACGAUCAGUAGCUGGUCUGAGAGGACGAUCAGCCACACUGGGACUGAGACACGGCCCAGACUCCUACGGGAGGCAGCAGUGGGGAAUUUUGGACAAUGGGCGCAAGCCUGAUCCAGCAAUGCCGCGUGUGUGAAGAAGGCCUUCGGGUUGUAAAGCACUUUUGUCCGGAAAGAAAUGGCUCUGGUUAAUACCUGGGGUCGAUGACGGUACCGGAAGAAUAAGGACCGGCUAACUACGUGCCAGCCGCCGCCGUAA
rnacentral:rRNA from 1 species